GCAAUCGGGGACAAAGCAGACAUCGUAGUGACAUUGUGAUAGCGACUGUUAUUGCACCCGAUGCGCCGACGCUGCAAUGGCGAUAUCGCGUGCUCUACGUCAACAAUGCGUCGCGAGCUUCAACACUGAAGUAAACAUCCCAAGCUGCCAUUAACCAUCAUGGCUACGAUUCACUAGUAAGCAAAAACAACUAUAAAUUCAACAUAACGGGUAUCCAAACUCAACCCAGGUCAAACAGUGAGGAACGUUUAGUUCGUAUAUGUUCGUAUAUGUACACGUGUUAGUCACGAUCUUAGUUUAUACGACGCCGAUGUUCAAAAGGCUCAUUAAGCAAUAGCCCUUACAGCUACGUUAAAUUUCAUGGAUAAAUAUGAUCUAAAAGAGAUGGACCAAAAUAGCUCUCCCUAAGAUACUGUCAAUCGAGCGUAUUUACUGGUAAGUAUCUUUGACGUACUUCAUUUAUGAAAGCGAUAGCUUCGUGAGAAGAUUUUUUUUUCUAUAUGAAAUUACGCAGGCGAGAAAAAUGGUGUAGGUGUUAAGGUAUACAGACCGGAGCGAGUAAUCAAUGUAUGAUCUUCAAAAAUAAAUUAUUAUUAGUA